rnacentral:rRNA from 1 species
GGUUAAGCGACUAAGCGUACACGGUGGAUGCCCUGGCAGUCAGAGGCGAUGAAGGACGUGCUAAUCUGCGAUAAGCGUCGGUAAGGUGAUAUGAACCGUUAUAACCGGCGAUUUCCGAAUGGGGAAACCCAGUGUGAUUCGUCACACUAUCAUUAACUGAAUCCAUAGGUUAAUGAGGCGAACCGGGGGAACUGAAACAUCUAAGUACCCCGAGGAAAAGAAAUCAACCGAGAUUCCCCCAGUAGCGGCGAGCGAACGGGGAGCAGCCCAGAGCCUGAAUCAGUGUGUGUGUUAGUGGAAGCGUCUGGAAAGGCGCGCGAUACAGGGUGACAGCCCCGUACACAAAAAUGCACAUACUGUGAGCUCGAUGAGUAGGGCGGGACACGUGGUAUCCUGUCUGAAUAUGGGGGGACCAUCCUCCAAGGCUAAAUACUCCUGACUGACCGAUAGUGAACCAGUACCGUGAGGGAAAGGCGAAAAGAACCCCGGCGAGGGGAGUGAAAAAGAACCUGAAACCGUGUACGUACAAGCAGUGGGAGCACGCUUAGGCGUGUGACUGCGUACCUUUUGUAUAAUGGGUCAGCGACUUAUAUUCUGUAGCAAGGUUAACCGAAUAGGGGAGCCGAAGGGAAACCGAGUCUUAACUGGGCGUUAAGUUGCAGGGUAUAGACCCGAAACCCGGUGAUCUAGCCAUGGGCAGGUUGAAGGUUGGGUAACACUAACUGGAGGACCGAACCGACUAAUGUUGAAAAAUUAGCGGAUGACUUGUGGCUGGGGGUGAAAGGCCAAUCAAACCGGGAGAUAGCUGGUUCUCCCCGAAAGCUAUUUAGGUAGCGCCUCGUGAAUUCAUCUCCGGGGGUAGAGCACUGUUUCGGCAAGGGGGUCAUCCCGACUUACCAACCCGAUGCAAACUGCGAAUACCGGAGAAUGUUAUCACGGGAGACACACGGCGGGUGCUAACGUCCGUCGUGAAGAGGGAAACAACCCAGACCGCCAGCUAAGGUCCCAAAGUCAUGGUUAAGUGGGAAACGAUGUGGGAAGGCCCAGACAGCCAGGAUGUUGGCUUAGAAGCAGCCAUCAUUUAAAGAAAGCGUAAUAGCUCACUGGUCGAGUCGGCCUGCGCGGAAGAUGUAACGGGGCUAAACCAUGCACCGAAGCUGCGGCAGCGACGCUGAUGCGUUGUUGGGUAGGGGAGCGUUCUGUAAGCCUGUGAAGGUGUGCUGUGAGGCAUGCUGGAGGUAUCAGAAGUGCGAAUGCUGACAUAAGUAACGAUAAAGCGGGUGAAAAGCCCGCUCGCCGGAAGACCAAGGGUUCCUGUCCAACGUUAAUCGGGGCAGGGUGAGUCGACCCCUAAGGCGAGGCCGAAAGGCGUAGUCGAUGGGAAACAGGUUAAUAUUCCUGUACUUGGUGUUACUGCGAAGGGGGGACGGAGAAGGCUAUGUUGGCCGGGCGACGGUUGUCCCGGUUUAAGCGUGUAGGCUGGUUUUCCAGGCAAAUCCGGAAAAUCAAGGCUGAGGCGUGAUGACGAGGCACUACGGUGCUGAAGCAACAAAUGCCCUGCUUCCAGGAAAAGCCUCUAAGCAUCAGGUAACAUCAAAUCGUACCCCAAACCGACACAGGUGGUCAGGUAGAGAAUACCAAGGCGCUUGAGAGAACUCGGGUGAAGGAACUAGGCAAAAUGGUGCCGUAACUUCGGGAGAAGGCACGCUGAUAUGUAGGUGAAGCGACUUGCUCGUGGAGCUGAAAUCAGUCGAAGAUACCAGCUGGCUGCAACUGUUUAUUAAAAACACAGCACUGUGCAAACACGAAAGUGGACGUAUACGGUGUGACGCCUGCCCGGUGCCGGAAGGUUAAUUGAUGGGGUCAGCGCAAGCGAAGCUCUUGAUCGAAGCCCCGGUAAACGGCGGCCGUAACUAUAACGGUCCUAAGGUAGCGAAAUUCCUUGUCGGGUAAGUUCCGACCUGCACGAAUGGCGUAAUGAUGGCCAGGCUGUCUCCACCCGAGACUCAGUGAAAUUGAACUCGCUGUGAAGAUGCAGUGUACCCGCGGCAAGACGGAAAGACCCCGUGAACCUUUACUAUAGCUUGACACUGAACAUUGAGCCUUGAUGUGUAGGAUAGGUGGGAGGCUUUGAAGUGUGGACGCCAGUCUGCAUGGAGCCGGCCUUGAAAUACCACCCUUUAAUGUUUGAUGUUCUAACGUUGACCCGUGAUCCGGGUUGCGGACAGUGUCUGGUGGGUAGUUUGACUGGGGCGGUCUCCUCCUAAAGAGUAACGGAGGAGCACGAAGGUUGGCUAAUCCUGGUCGGACAUCAGGAGGUUAGUGCAAUGGCAUAAGCCAGCUUGACUGCGAGCGUGACGGCGCGAGCAGGUGCGAAAGCAGGUCAUAGUGAUCCGGUGGUUCUGAAUGGAAGGGCCAUCGCUCAACGGAUAAAAGGUACUCCGGGGAUAACAGGCUGAUACCGCCCAAGAGUUCAUAUCGACGGCGGUGUUUGGCA